GAGUUUGAUCCUGGCUCAGGACGAACGCUGGCGGCGUGCUUAACACAUGCAAGUCGAACGGUGACCUCGGAGCUUUGCUCCGGGUGAUCAGUGGCGAACGGGUGAGUAACACGUGAGUAACCUGCCCCAGACUCUGGGAUAACUUCGGGAAACCGGAGCUAAUACCGGAUAUGACACGAAGAGGCAUCUCUAUCGUGUGGAAAGUUUUUCGGUCUGGGAUGGACUCGCGGCCUAUCAGCUUGUUGGUGAGGUAACGGCUCACCAAGGCGACGACGGGUAGCCUGCCUGAGAGGGCGACCGGCCACACUGGGACUGAGACACGGCCCAGACUCCUACGGGAGGCAACAGUGGGGAAUAUUGCACAAUGGGCGAAAGCCUGAUGCAGCGACGCCGCGUGAGGGAUGACGGCCUUCGGGUUGUAAACCUCUUUCAGCAGGGAAGAAACGAAAGUGACGGUACCUGCAGAAGAAGCACCGGCUAACUACGUGCCAGCAGCCGCGGUAAUACG
rnacentral:rRNA from 2 species